rnacentral:rRNA from 1 species
UGGGGAAUUUUGCACAAUGGGGAAAACCCUGAUGCAGCGACGCCGCGUGAUUUAGAAGGCCUUCGGGUUGUAAAAAUCUUUUUUACGGGAUGAAAAUGACAGUACCGUAAGAAUAAGGUCCGGCUAAAUACGUGCCAGCAGCCGCGGUAAUACGUAUGGACCGAGCGUUGUCCGGAAUCAUUGGGCGUAAAGGGUACGUAGGCGGCCUAGUAAGUUAGAAGUGAAAUAAUAUAGCUCAACUAUAUAAAGCUUUUAAAACUGCUAGGCUUGAGAGAUGGAAGGGAAAGUGGAAUUCCUAGUGUAGCGGUGAAAUGCGCAGAUAUUAGGAAGAAUACCGGUGGCGAAGGCGACUUUCUGGUCAUCAUCUGACGCUGAGGUACGAAAGCGUGGGUAGCAAACAGG